GUCUAUUGCCAUACCACCCUGAACACGCCUGAUCUCAUCUGAUCUUGGAAGCUUAGCAGAGUUGGGCCUGGUUAGUACUUGGAUGGGGAGACAGCAUGGUACUGCAGGCC
ensembl:rRNA 5S_rRNA 5S ribosomal RNA